rnacentral:rRNA from 1 species
UACGUAGGGUGCGAGCGUUAAUCGGAAUUACUGGGCGUAAAGCGUGCGUAGGCGGUUCGCUGUGUCCGAUGUGAAAGCCCCGGGCUUAACCUGGGAAUGGCAUUGGAAACUGGCGGGCUUGAGUGCGGCAGAGGGGGGUGGAAUUCCGCGGUGUAGCAGUGAAAUGCGUAGAGAUGCGGAGGAACACCGAUGGCGAAGGCAGCCCCCUGGGUCGACACUGACGCUCAGGCACGAAAGCGUGGGGAGCAAACAGG